rnacentral:rRNA from 1 species
GGGUUGUGAGGUUAAGCGACUAAGCGUACACGGUGGAUGCCCUGGCAGUCAGAGGCGAUGAAGGACGUGCUAAUCUGCGAUAAGCGUCGGUAAGGUGAUAUGAACCGUUAUAACCGGCGAUUUCCGAAUGGGGAAACCCAGUGUGUUUCGACACACUAUCAUUAACUGAAUCCAUAGGUUAAUGAGGCGAACCGGGGGAACUGAAACAUCUAAGUACCCCGAGGAAAAGAAAUCAACCGAGAUUCCCCCAGUAGCGGCGAGCGAACGGGGAGCAGCCCAGAGCCUGAAUCAGUGUGUGUGUUAGUGGAAGCGUCUGGAAAGGCGCGCGAUACAGGGUGACAGCCCCGUACACAAAAAUGCACAUGCUGUGAGCUCGAUGAGUAGGGCGGGACACGUGGUAUCCUGUCUGAAUAUGGGGGGACCAUCCUCCAAGGCUAAAUACUCCUGACUGACCGAUAGUGAACCAGUACCGUGAGGGAAAGGCGAAAAGAACCCCGGCGAGGGGAGUGAAAAAGAACCUGAAACCGUGUACGUACAAGCAGUGGGAGCACGCUUAGGCGUGUGACUGCGUACCUUUUGUAUAAUGGGUCAGCGACUUAUAUUCUGUAGCAAGGUUAACCGAAUAGGGGAGCCGAAGGGAAACCGAGUCUUAACUGGGCGUUAAGUUGCAGGGUAUAGACCCGAAACCCGGUGAUCUAGCCAUGGGCAGGUUGAAGGUUGGGUAACACUAACUGGAGGACCGAACCGACUAAUGUUGAAAAAUUAGCGGAUGACUUGUGGCUGGGGGUGAAAGGCCAAUCAAACCGGGAGAUAGCUGGUUCUCCCCGAAAGCUAUUUAGGUAGCGCCUCGUGAAUUCAUCUCCGGGGGUAGAGCACUGUUUCGGCAAGGGGGUCAUCCCGACUUACCAACCCGAUGCAAACUGCGAAUACCGGAGAAUGUUAUCACGGGAGACACACGGCGGGUGCUAACGUCCGUCGUGAAGAGGGAAACAACCCAGACCGCCAGCUAAGGUCCCAAAGUCAUGGUUAAGUGGGAAACGAUGUGGGAAGGCCCAGACAGCCAGGAUGUUGGCUUAGAAGCAGCCAUCAUUUAAAGAAAGCGUAAUAGCUCACUGGUCGAGUCGGCCUGCGCGGAAGAUGUAACGGGGCUAAACCAUGCACCGAAGCUGCGGCAGCGACGCUUAUGCGUUGUUGGGUAGGGGAGCGUUCUGUAAGCCUGUGAAGGUGUGCUGUGAGGCAUGCUGGAGGUAUCAGAAGUGCGAAUGCUGACAUAAGUAACGAUAAAGCGGGUGAAAAGCCCGCUCGCCGGAAGACCAAGGGUUCCUGUCCAACGUUAAUCGGGGCAGGGUGAGUCGACCCCUAAGGCGAGGCCGAAAGGCGUAGUCGAUGGGAAACAGGUUAAUAUUCCUGUACUUGGUGUUACUGCGAAGGGGGGACGGAGAAGGCUAUGUUGGCCGGGCGACGGUUGUCCCGGUUUAAGCGUGUAGGCUGGUUUUCCAGGCAAAUCCGGAAAAUCAAGGCUGAGGCGUGAUGACGAGGCACUACGGUGCUGAAGCAACAAAUGCCCUGCUUCCAGGAAAAGCCUCUAAGCAUCAGGUAACAUCAAAUCGUACCCCAAACCGACACAGGUGGUCAGGUAGAGAAUACCAAGGCGCUUGAGAGAACUCGGGUGAAGGAACUAGGCAAAAUGGUGCCGUAACUUCGGGAGAAGGCACGCUGAUACGUAGGUGAAGUCCCUCGCGGAUGGAGCUGAAAUCAGUCGAAGAUACCAGCUGGCUGCAACUGUUUAUUAAAAACACAGCACUGUGCAAACACGAAAGUGGACGUAUACGGUGUGACGCCUGCCCGGUGCCGGAAGGUUAAUUGAUGGGGUCAGCGCAAGCGAAGCUCUUGAUCGAAGCCCCGGUAAACGGCGGCCGUAACUAUAACGGUCCUAAGGUAGCGAAAUUCCUUGUCGGGUAAGUUCCGACCUGCACGAAUGGCGUAAUGAUGGCCAGGCUGUCUCCACCCGAGACUCAGUGAAAUUGAACUCGCUGUGAAGAUGCAGUGUACCCGCGGCAAGACGGAAAGACCCCGUGAACCUUUACUAUAGCUUGACACUGAACAUUGAGCCUUGAUGUGUAGGAUAGGUGGGAGGCUUGGAAGUGUGGACGCCAGUCUGCAUGGAGCCGACCUUGAAAUACCACCCUUUAAUGUUUGAUGUUCUAACGUUGACCCGUGAUCCGGGUUGCGGACAGUGUCUGGUGGGUAGUUUGACUGGGGCGGUCUCCUCCUAAAGAGUAACGGAGGAGCACGAAGGUUGGCUAAUCCUGGUCGGACAUCAGGAGGUUAGUGCAAUGGCAUAAGCCAGCUUGACUGCGAGCGUGACGGCGCGAGCAGGUGCGAAAGCAGGUCAUAGUGAUCCGGUGGUUCUGAAUGGAAGGGCCAUCGCUCAACGGAUAAAAGGUACUCCGGGGAUAACAGGCUGAUACCGCCCAAGAGUUCAUAUCGACGGCGGUGUUUGGCACCUCGAUGUCGGCUCAUCACAUCCUGGGGCUGAAGUAGGUCCCAAGGGUAUGGCUGUUCGCCAUUUAAAGUGGUACGCGAGCUGGGUUUAGAACGUCGUGAGACAGUUCGGUCCCUAUCUGCCGUGGGCGCUGGAGAACUGAGGGGGGCUGCUCCUAGUACGAGAGGACCGGAGUGGACGCAUCACUGGUGUUCGGGUUGUCAUGCCAAUGGCACUGCCCGGUAGCUAAAUGCGGAAGAGAUAAGUGCUGAAAGCAUCUAAGCACGAAACUUGCCCCGAGAUGAGUUCUCCCUGACUCCUUGAGAGUCCUGAAGGAACGUUGAAGACGACGACGUUGAUAGGCCGGGUGUGUAAGCGCAGCGAUGCGUUGAGCUAACCGGUACUAAUGAACCGUGAGGCUUAACCUUACAACGCCGAAG